rnacentral:tRNA from 1 species
UCAAAAACAGUUCAACGGAAUACUAACUUUGGGAGUUAGAGGAUGAUUUUAUAAAUCAUUUUUGAA